rnacentral:rRNA from 1 species
CGGUAAAAAAGCUCGUAGUUGGAUUUCUGUUGAGAACGAUCGGUCCAUACCACGUAUGUGUAUCUGAUUCGAUCUCGGCAUCCUCUCGAAAGACGGUUCUGCGCUUGAUUGCGUAGGUCGGAUUCCGGGACUUUUACUUUGAGGAAAUUAGAGUGUUCACGGCAGGCUAUCGCCCGAAUACAUUAGCAUGGAAUAAUAAUAUAGGAUCUUGGUUCUAUUUUGUUGGUUUCUAGAAUUGAGAUAAUGAUUAAUAGGGACAAUUGGGGGCAUUCGUACUGACGCGUUAGAGGUCAAAUUCUUGGAUCGCGUCAUGACGAACUACUGCGAAAGCAUUUGCCAAGGAUGUUUUCAUUGAUCAAGAACGAAAGUUAGGGGAUCGAAGACGAUCAGAUACCGUCGUAGACCUAACCAUAAACUAUGCCAACUAGGGAUGGGGUGUCGUUCAUUCACGACUCAUUCCGCACCUUAUGAGAUAUCAAAGUUUUUGGGUUCCGGGGGGAGUAUGGUCGC